GGGGACCGGAAACAGGGCGGCGGGCGGGGAGCAGGCUAGCUAGCGACCCAGGCUCAACUCCGAAUGGAUUGGAUUGCAAGUUUGCACGUGAGAAAACCGUUUGGCUUGACUUGGACCCCUGCCGCCCCCCACCCCCUCCACACACACCCCAAUCCAGGGGUCUCCCUUAUCACCCUUUGCUUGAAACUCUAAAAGAAGUUGCCCACCUCCUGCGUAACAACACAGGGUUGAAAUAAUUCCUCUAGAUGAAAGAUCAAUUCCGUUUCAAAACGAGAAUACGUUCCUUUUUUUUUUUUAAUUUUCUCCACAUGGUACAAAAUAAACAAAAUUUGCUAUAAAAAAA